rnacentral:rRNA from 1 species
ACGCUCGACACCUACGGGAGGCAGCAGUGGGGGAUAUUGCACAAUGGGGGAAACCCUGAUGCAGCGACGCCGCGUGAAGGAAGAAGGCCUUCGGUUGUAAACUUCUGUCGUACGGGACGAUAGUGACGGUACCGUACAAGAAAGCCACGGCUAACUACGUGCCGCAGCCGCGGUAAUCUGAGCGGCUGGCAAGGC